UCCAUACCGAACCUGGAAGUCAAGCACUUCUGCGCUGAUAAUACUGCACCUUUCAGGUGUGGAAACGUAGGCCUCUGCCAGCU
rnacentral:rRNA from 1 species